UACUAUUGAAUGAUGAAAUUAUAGUUCAAAUGAUAUUCUGUGAUUAUCACUUUGCUAUGUCUUUCGCUCCUAUCUGAAUCAAUACGU